CAAGGAAGUGUGUAAUCUCUGCCUUAGCUACACAUACAGAAGGGGCCGGACUGUGGGUGGCCAGGGACUCUUAUUUUGUGGCAUACUGCACGAACAUGGUGCAACACUGAAUGGAGGGACAGUGCCAGGGCACUCCAGGCACCAUAACCAAUUCAAAGAGAUGAAAUGCUUAGUGACUACAGUGUCCCUUUAAUGUAGGUUGCUGAUUUGGCUGCAGUAUAUCUAAUAUAUAAGUCUGUAGUGGGUUUCCCCAUUCCAUACAGCCUAACUGGAAUAGUUAAUAGAAUGUUAUGGAGAAUAUUAAAUAAAAUGCUGACAUGCAUCACUUGGACUUUAUUUUUU